CUUGAACGCUGGCGGCAGGCCUAACACAUGCAAGUCGAGCGAGCGGCGGACGGGUGAGUAAUGUAUGGGGACUGCCCGAUAGAGGGGGAUAAAUCAUGGAAACGGUGGCUAAUACGGCAUACUAGCGGAUAACCCAUAUGGGAUUAGCUCGUAGGUGGGGUAAAGGCUCACCUAGGCGACGAUCUCUAGCUGGUCUGAGCGGAUGUUCAGCCAAACUGGGCCUGAGAAACGGCCCAGACGCCUACGGAGGCAGCAGGUGGGAAUAUUGCACAAUGGGCGCAAGCCUGAUGCAGCCAUGCCGCGGGAAUGAAGAAGGCCUUAGGGUUGUAAAGUACUUUCAGCGGGGAGGCGUUACCCGCAGAAGAAGCACCGGCUAACUCCGUGCCAGCAGCCGCGGUAAUAC
rnacentral:rRNA from 1 species